UACGUAGGGGGCAAGCGUUGUCCGGAAUUAUUGGGCGUAAAGGGCUCGUAGGCGGUUUGUCGCGUCGGGAGUGAAAAUCCAGGGCUUAACUCUGGACUGGCUUCCGAUACGGGCAGACUAGAGGUAUGCAGGGGAGAACGGAAUUCCUGGUGUAGCGGUGAAAUGCGCAGAUAUCAGGAGGAACACCGGUGGCGAAGGCGGUUCUCUGGGCAUUACCUGACGCUGAGGAGCGAAAGUGUGGGGAGCGAACAGG
rnacentral:rRNA from 1 species